rnacentral:rRNA from 1 species
UAGGGAAUCUUCGGCAAUGGACGAAAGUCUGACCGAGCAACGCCGCGUGAGUGAAGAAGGUUUUCGGAUCGUAAAACUCUGUUGGUAGAGAAGAACGUUGGUGAGAGUGGAAAGCUCAUCAAGUGACGGUAACUACCCAGAAAGGGACGGCUAACUACGUGUCA